CCUGGCGGCACUAGCGCGGUGGUCCCACCCGACCCCAUGCCGAACUCAGAAGUGAAACGCCGUAGCGCCGAUGGUAGUGU
rnacentral:rRNA from 1 species